rnacentral:tRNA from 1 species
GCUUUAUAUGCAAAAGAAACGCACCCAAUCUUGUAAAUUGGAAUAAAAAGGUUAAAUUCCUUUAUAAAGCU